CCAAACCUUACGUCCCCGAGAAUCGGCGAUGGGGUGUUGGGAAGCUGGCUUGCUAGCGACCCGAUCCCCGGCUGCCAAACCUAACAAAAAAUAAAAACUAGGUGCCUCGGCAGGCCUGCCCCCGCUGCUUGCGGUGGGAGCUAGCUAGCCUUGGUGCCGCCCACUACUAAACAAUACCGAAAACUGAACCAAAACUGUCACUGGAAGACCCGUUCUGCGGGUUUUCUUAUGGCUGUAUAAUUCAUUACAACUUUCAGCAAUGGAUGUCUUGGAUCCCACAACGAUGAAGAACGCAGCGAAAUGCGAUACGUAAUGCGAAUUGCAGGACCUCGUGAAUCAUCAAAAUUUUGAACGCACAUUGCGCUUUUGGGUAAUGCCCAAGAGCAUGCUUAUCUGAGUGUCCCUAAACCCCACUCGGCCAUCGCCUGUAUGUGAAAGCAUCGGGUCGGUGAGCCGGACUGUGACAGUGCACUGCUUCGGCCGUGCUCUGUUGAAAUACAAUCAGUUCGAUUGAAUGCUCAGGCAGCCUAGCGGUUGCGGGUCUGAAGCGAACGCGACAAAGGAUUUGGUAGAUGCACUGACGUGUGUUCCGUAGUCUUGAGUUGCGAGAGCAGAAGCCAACUGGGUGUACCUUCGGAAUGGGUCUGGCUGCGGCUCAGCACCUAAAAUGAAUGUAACUCAUCUAUGGAUCUCAGAUUAAGUAAGACUACCC
rnacentral:rRNA from 1 species